CUGUCCUGUUAGCCAGCAGCCGAGUUGACGGCCAAGGCCGCCGCCUCCAGCUGGUUUUAAUUGAGGGGAUGGUGCCUGUGUGCAGGACGUUGAAUACGAGCCCAUGGAGCCUCCAAUUCCAGUACUCCGGCCUGCAGGUCCAGGUAAUACUGGGGCUGCCGGGCCAGUUUCCCCCUCCUCCUGCCCUUGCCUGCUUUUUGUUGGGGGACUAGGAUUUUGUCUUCUGGGUCACUUCUAAAGCACGUUAAGGAUGGUCAUCAUUUGUAUUUCAGGAGAACUAAUGUUUAGCUCUGCUAGGAGUAACAUUUUCGGAAAUCACGUUUUCCAUUUUGGACUCUAUUCUGUAUUUAAAUGCUAUGGAUUAAAAUAAAAGUAAGCCAACAGGAGGCCCCAGCGAGGAUCGAACUCGCGACCCCUGGUUUACAAGACCAGUGCUCUAACCACUGAGCUAUGGAGCCCACGUGAGGCGUUGUUUUCAGGAAUUCACAGAUCUUACCAACAACAUUGGUUUAUAUGGCGGUCCGUGAGAAUUUGACCCCAUGUGUGUAUUAUCAAUGGUACUUAUAAAAGGCUAUGAAAUGCCAAAGAAAAAUGCUUACAACAUGAUGAUAAGUGGAAAACACUGAAGCCUCAAAUCAUAUGUUUGUGAUUACAAUACACUAAAUCAUACCUAACUUAUGCAUACAGACAAGGGCUGGGAGGGAAAGUGCAAAAAUGAAAUGGUGUUCUGGUCAUAUUUUCAGUGGUAUGUUUACUCUCAAUAAAUCUUUCAAUCUUGCUUCCUUGAUAAAUUGUAUCAAGUUUGGUACUUUCAGGGAAGUGGGAAGUUAUGGGGGUGUCUUUGUUCUCAUAAACUAAGUUACUGGUUUUGGAUGAAUUAAUUGCUUCAACA
rnacentral:tRNA from 10 species